UACGUAGGGGGCAAGCGUUGUCCGGAUUUAUUGGGCGUAAAGAGCGUGUAGGCGGCCUGGAAGGUCAGCUGUGAAAACUCGAGGCUCAACCUCGAGACGUCGGUUGAAACCACCUGGCUAGAGUCCGGAAGAGGAGUGUGGAAUUCCCGGUGUAGCGGUGGAAUGCGCAGAUAUCGGGAGGAACACCUGUGGCGAAAGCGGCUCACUGGACCACAACUGACGCUGAGGCGCGAAAGCUAGGGGAGCAAACAGG
rnacentral:rRNA from 1 species